rnacentral:rRNA from 1 species
GAAUAAAUGACGGUACUUGAGGAGGAAGCCCCGGCUAACUACGUGCCAGCAGCCGCGGUAAUACGUAGGGGGCAAGCGUUAUCCGGAAUCACUGGGCGUAAAGGGUGCGUAGGCGGUUUUCAAGUCAGAAGUGAAAGGCUAUGGCUCAACCAUAGUAAGCUUUGUAAACUGUUAAACUUGAGUGCAGGAGAGGAAAGUGGAAUUCCUAGUGUAGAGGUGAAAUUCGUAGAUAUUAGGAGGAACACCAGUGGCGAAGGCGACUUUCUUGGACUGUAACUGACGCUGAGGCACGAAAGCGUGGGGAGCGAACAGGAUUAGAUACCCUGGUAG